UCCGUAGGUGAACCUGCGGAAGGAUCAUUACAAAUCACGUGGAGGGUGUUGGUUGCUGCUGCUGCUGUUUGGUAGCAGUAGUGACGAACUCCUGAAGCACAUAUGCACAGAGCCGUGCGUGGUGGUUUAUCACCUGCGCAUGUGCUUUGAUGUUCACGCUUGAAUGUUUGACAGAGUUAUCAGUGCAGCCCUAAAUAUAGACAACUUUUAACAAUGGAUCUCUUGGCUCUUGCAACGAUGAAGAACGCAGUAAAGUGCGAUAUGUAGUGCGAUUUGCAUGAAUCUGUGAGUCAUCUAAUCUUUGAACGCAACUUGCGCCUCUUUGAGGCAUGUUUGUUUGAGUGCCGCAUACCCUUAUGCAGCAAUGCGAUUUGAUUCACGUCUCCGGACCGAAUCUAAAUAUAGCCAGAUGGUGGUCAGCGUGACUAGCCCGAGUGCUAAGCAUUCUUGGAACUAGCAGGCAGCCAUUAAAAAUCUUUUUAUAUUUGGCCUCAAAUCAAGCAAGACUACCCGCUGGAACUUAAGGGCAUAUCAAUAAGGCGGGAGGGAA
rnacentral:rRNA from 1 species